UGGCGGGUAGUUCAACAGGCAGAACGCUUGACUUUGGAUCAAGAGGUUGCAGGUUCGAGCCCUGCCCCGCCAGCAA
rnacentral:tRNA from 1 species